rnacentral:rRNA from 1 species
UGACGUCGAUGUCGAUGUGUAGUGUGGUUCCGUUGAGGAGUGGCUUUCGGAGCUAAGGCUUUAAUUCAACCGCCGGGGGAGUACGGCCCCAAAGUUAAAACUCAAAUGAAUUGACGGGAGCCCGCACAACCGGGGAAGCAGGGGAUUUAAUUCAAUGCACCCCGAAAAACCUUACCUACUCUUGACAUCCUGAAAAGUUAACAAAAAUGCUUUGGUGCCUUCGGGAACUCUGAAACAGGUGCUGCAUGGCUGUCGUCAGCUCGUGUUGUGAAAUGUUGGGUUAAGUCCCGCAACGAGCGCAACCCUUAUCCUUUGUUGCCUACGAUUCGGUCGGGAACUCAACUGACACUGCCGGUGAUAAACCGGAUGAAGGUGACGAUGACUCCUCGUGGUCCUGGCCCUUACGACUUCGGCUACACUACUGCGGUCAUGGCGUAUGGUCGAGACCCGACCUCGGGGAGAGCAUCGGAACUCAUAAAGUACGUCCCAGACCGGAUUGGAGUCUGCAACUGCACUCCAUGAGAUUCGAAUCUCUCUAAUAUCAGAUUGUAAUGCUGAAGUGAAUACCUUCUCGGGCCUUGUACACCCCGCCCGUCACACCAGGGGGUUGGGUUGCAAAAGAGUUACCUAACUUAACCUUCGGGAGGGCGCUUACCACUAUGUGAUUCUGGACUGGGGUCAACCGAAAAAAGAAAAACCACA